GCCCGGGUGCUGUAACUGGUAGCCAGGUCAGACUUAAAAUCUGAUGUCCGUAAGGACGUGUGGGUUCGAUCCCCACCCCGGGCACCA
rnacentral:tRNA from 1 species